UACAGAGGGCUCAAGCGUUGUUCGGAUUCAUUGGGCGUAAAGGGUGCGUAGGUGGCGCGUUAAGUCAGGUGUGAAAUUUCGGAGCUUAACUCCGAAACUGCAUUUGAUACUGGCGUGCUUGAGGACUGGAGAGGAGACUGGAAUUCACGGUGUAGCAGUGAAAUGCGUAGAUAUCGUGAGGAAGACCAGUGGCGAAGGCGGGUCUCUGGACAGUUCCUGACACUGAGGCACGAAGGCCAGGGGAGCGAACGGG
rnacentral:rRNA from 1 species